CACUCUUUUGUAGGACAGGAAACAAAAUCUCAGAGCAGUUUCCCAUUUUUCCAACGAUGUCUCAGGAGAGCGCGGAACAUCAAUAAUAUAACACCAGAGCCAAGUGAAAGUAUUUGAGAAUGUCAAUGAAAGAGAGAUUUCAUUUGUCCCAGAAUACAGUAAUGACACGAUGACAAGACCGGCAGUAAUGAAAAAGGAGAGCUUUAAAAAGACAUAAAGAGAUGUAAGUGGAUCGCCUCUCAUCUCGCAGCACAAAGUCUUGAUUUGGCGCAUCAGCAAACCCAUAGGGAGGACAGCCCCGCGAGAGGAAACACCAUAAUUUUAUUAAUUAUCUUUGUUUUAUGGAACCACGUGAAGUCAGGCAGUU